rnacentral:rRNA from 1 species
UACGUAGGGGGGCAAGCGUUGUCCGGAUUUAUUGGGCGUAAAGAGCGUGUAGGCGGUCUGGUAGGUCCGUUGUGAAAACUCGAGGCUCAACCUCGAGACGCCGAUGGAAACCAUCAGACUAGAGUCCGGAAGAGGAGAGUGGAAUUCCUGGUGUAGCGGUGAAAUGCGCAGAUAUCAGGAAGAACACCCGUGGCUAAGGCGGCUCUCUAGUACGGUACUGACGCUGAGACGCGAAAGCGUGGGGAGCGAACAGG